rnacentral:rRNA from 1 species
UACAGAGGGUGCUAGCGUUGUUCGGAAUCAUUGGGCGUAAAGGGUGCGUAGGUGGUGAGGUAAGUCGGAUGUGAAAUCUCGGAGCUCAACUCCGAAAUGGCAUUGGAAACUACCUCGCUAGAGGAUCGGAGGGGAGACUGGAAUUCUCGGUGUAGCAGUGAAAUGCGCAGAUAUCAGGAGGAACACCAAUGGCGAAGGCAGCUCGCUGGAACGGAACUGACGCUGAGGCGCGAAAGCGUGGGGAGCGAACAGG